GAGAGAGAGAGAGAGAGAGAGAGAGAGAGAGAGAGAGAGAGAGAGAGAGAGAGAGAGAGAGAGAGAGAGAGAGAGAGAGUAAUCUGCACCUCAUUUCUCCGUCACCAUCCACCAGUGUUGCUUCACCGCACUGCCUGGAGACUCAUCGUAGUACUGUUGACUUGUAGCAAUGGACCACUUCGCACUCUUUCAUUUUAUUCACUUAUUCAUUGUUUUGUUUCACUCGUACCUUCAUUUUAUCUAUUUAUUUUAUUUCGUGUGGUUGAAAUGUAUUUUAGAUCAUUCGUUUUCUUUAUUAUCUUAUUGUAUUUGUUCGGUGUAGUUGUUCUUAUUGCUAUUUUUAUUGUUACUAUUAUUAUUAUUAUUAUUAUUAUUAUUAUUAUUAUUAUUAUCGUUAUUAUUUUUUUUUUUUAUUUCAUUUAUUUUUUAUAUCGUUUAGGAAGGUUGUAUUAAUUUCAGUUUAGUUGUAUUUCGUUGUGAUUAAAUUUAGGUCCGUUUUCUUUCACGCUGUCACGAUUAGAAAAAAAAAUAAAUAAUAAAUAUAGAAAAUUCAUUGUAUUUUGAGGGAACCUUCGACGACUCACUACUACUACUAUUAUUAUUAUUAUUAUUAUUAUUAUUAUUAUUAUUAUUGUUGUUGUUGCUGUUAUUAUCGCCACAGUUACGUUCUCCCCAAGCGUUACGGUAAAAACUGUGACGAAAGCACAAAUUUUCGUUUGAGGGCCGUCCUGCCACGGGCCCGCCACGGUAAAUCAGCAAAUCGCGCAGCUUUCUUCUCCGCGCAAUCCAUAGACGUGAAUAAAAGCGCAGGAACGUCAUCACCUCUCCAUCUCGCGCAAGUCAUUCCCCCGAUGCAUAUCCAACGAUGGCGCAAAACUUCGCCACUCGCACCAUAAAACUUAACGAAAAACUCGCACGCCACUCAGCGGAUUAGCAGAGUGCGCCAUUGUUCCUUUGCUCCAGCCCUCCGCACACUUACCCAUCAACAACCCGCGCAAAUUUACGUAACUCUAAGUACUGAACACACAUACACACACACAAUGUCACUUAUUAUAUUCCGCCACGUGUUUCCGUGAAGUUACUUAAUUAAGAAAAAAAUGUUAAAAAAUAGUUCUCCAUUGUUUGUUCUUAUUAUAAUUCCACUUUUCAUCUCAUAAUCGUGCAAGGUCGGCCGUGAAAAAUCGAUCGACUGCGCAGAUGCCUCACGUGCGCCGCCAUGGACUGACGGCCCCACCUGGUUGUCAUCUUAAUUAGCACUGGCUCACCUGUCCCGCGGUGCACAGGGCUGACGAUGCUGUAUUAAUAAAGAUUUGCUGUGAUCAUUUU